rnacentral:snRNA from 1 species
AUAUUUACCUGGCAGGGGAAAUACCAUAAUCACAAAGGUGCUUCUCCCAGGGCAAGGCUUAUCCAUUGCACUCCGGGUGUGCUGACCCCUGCCAUUUCCCCAAAUGUGGGAAACUCAACUGCAUAAUUUGUGGCAGUGGGGGACUGCGUUCGCAUUCUCCCA